GAUGAACGCUGGCGGCGUGCCUAAUACAUGCAAGUUGAGCGAAUGGAUUAAGAGCUUGCUCUUAUGAAGUUAGCGGCGGACGGGUGAGUAACACGUGGGUAACCUGCCCAUAAGACUGGGAUAACUCCGGGAAACCGGGGCUAAUACCGGAUAACAUUUUGAACCGCAUGGUUCGAAAUUGAAAGGCGGCUUCGGCUGUCACUUAUGGAUGGACCCGCGUCGCAUUAGCUAGUUGGUGAGGUAACGGCUCACCAAGGCAACGAUGCGUAGCCGACCGGAGAGGGUGAUCGGCCACCCUGAGACUGAGAAACGGCCCAGACUCCUACGGGAGGCAGCAGUAGGGAAUCUUCCGCAAUGGACGAAAGUCUGACGGAGCAACGCCGCGUGAGUGAUGAAGGCUUUCGGGUCGUAAAACUCUGUUGUUAGGGAAGAACAAGUGCUAGUUGAAUAAGCUGGCACCUUGACGGUACCUAACCAGAAAGCCACGGCUAACUACGUGCCAGCAGCCGCCGUAA
rnacentral:rRNA from 1 species